rnacentral:piRNA from 1 species
UCAGUGGUCCCGCUGAACUGAGCUCGC